rnacentral:rRNA from 1 species
GGACGAACGCUGGCGGCGUGCUUACCACAUGCAAGUCGAACGGAAAGGCCCUGCUUUUGUGGGGUGCUCGAGUGGCGAACGGGUGAGUAACACGUGAGUAACCUGCCCUUGACUUUGGGAUAACUUCAGGAAACUGGGGCUAAUACCGGAUAGGAGCUCCUGCUGCAUGGUGGGGGUUGGAAAGUUUCGGCGGUUGGGGAUGGACUCGCGGCUUAUCAGCUUGUUGGUGGGGUAGUGGCUUACCAAGGCUUUGACGGGUAGCCGGCCUGAGAGGGUGACCGGCCACAUUGGGACUGAGAUACGGCCCAGACUCCUACGGGAGGCAGCAGUGGGGAAUAUUGCACAAUGGGCGGAAGCCUGAUGCAGCAACGCCGCGUGCGGGAUGACGGCCUUCGGGUUGUAAACCGCUUUCGCCUGUGACGAAGCGUGAGUGACGGUAAUGGGUAAAGAAGCACCGGCUAACUACGU